rnacentral:rRNA from 1 species
UACGGAGGGUGCAAGCGUUGCUCGGAAUUACUGGGCGUAAAGGGCUCGUAGGUGGCCAACUAAGCCAGACGUGAAAUCCCUCGGCUUAACCGGGGAACUGCAUCUGAUACUGGAUGGCUUGAGUUUGGGAGAGGGAUGCGGAAUUCCAGGUGUAGCGGUGAAAUGCGUAGAUAUCUGGAGGAACACCGGUGGCGAAGGCGGCAUCCUGGACCAACACUGACACUGAUGAGCGAAAGCCAGGGGAGCAAACGGG